rnacentral:rRNA from 1 species
GAUGAACGCUAGCGAUAGGCUUAACACAUGCAAGUCGAGGGGCAGCAUGGUCUUAGCUUGCUAAGGCUGAUGGCGACCGGCGUAAGGGUGCGUAACGCGUAUGUAACUUGCCUUUGUAGAGGGGGAGUAACCCGGACGAAAUCCGGCCCUAAUACCGCGUAUUCUCAAGUUGCUGCAUGGCAGUUUGAGGAAAGAUUUAUUGCUCAGAGAUAGGCAUGCGUUCCAUUAGGUAGUUGGUGAGGUAACGGCUCACCAAGCCGACGAUGGAUAGGGGAGCUGAGAGGCUGACCCCCCACACUGGGACUGAGACACGGCCCAG